rnacentral:rRNA from 1 species
GACGAACGCUGGCGGCGUGCCUAACACAUGCAAGUCGAACGGGGUAGAGAGCUUCGGUUUUCUACUUAGUGGCGAACGGGUGAGUAACGCGUGAGAAACCUGCCUUUCAGUGGGGGACAACAGUUGGAAACGACUGCUAAUACCGCAUAAUGUUAUUUAGGGGCAUCCCUGAAUAACCAAAGCUUUAUGUGCUGAAAGAUGGUCUCGCGUCUGAUUAGCUAGAUGGCGGGGUAACGGCCCACCAUGGCGACGAUCAGUAGCCGGUCUGAGAGGAUGAACGGCCACAUUGGGACUGAGAUACGGCCCAGACUCCUACGGGAGGCAGCAGUGGGGAAUAUUGGGCAAUGGGGGAAACCCUGACCCAGCAACGCCGCGUGAGGGAAGAAGGCUUUCGGGUUGUAAACCUCUUUUAGCAGGGACGAAGAACGUGACGGUACCUGCAGAAAAAGCAACGGCUAACUACGUG